rnacentral:rRNA from 1 species
GACGAACGCUGGCGGCGUGCUUAACACAUGCAAGUCGAACGAUGAAGCCGGAGCUUGCUCUGGUGAAUUAGUGGCGAACGGGUGAGUAACACGUGAGUAACCUGCCCUUGACCCUGGGAUAACUGCGGGAAACUGUAGCUAAUACCGGAUACGACCCUCGGAGGCAUCUCCUGGGGGUGGAAAGAAUUUCGGUCAAGGAUGGACUCGCGGCCUAUCAGCUAGUUGGUGGGGUAAAGGCUCACCAAGGCGACGACGGGUAGCCGGCCGGGGAGGGUAGCCGGCCACACUGGGACUGAGGCACGGCCCAGACUCCUACGGGAGGCAGCAGUGGGGAAUAUUGCACAAUGGGCGCAAGCCUGAUGCAGCAACGCCGCGUGAGGGAUGACGGCCUUCGGGUUGUAAACCUCUUUUAGCAGGGAAGAAGCGAAAGUGACGGUACCUGCAGAAAAAGCACCGGCUAACUACGUGCCAGCUGCCGCGGUAA